UACAGAGGUCCCAAGCGUUGUUCGGAUUCACUGGGCGUAAAGGGUGCGUAGGCGGUCGGGUAAGUCUGAUGUGAAAUCUCACAGCUUAACUGUGAAACUGCAUUGGAUACUAUUCGGCUUGAGAGUUGGAGGGGGGACUGGAAUUCUUGGUGUAGCAGUGAAAUGCGUAGAUAUCAAGAGGAACACCAGUGGCGAAGGCGGUGGUCUGGGCCGGCACUGACGCUGAGGAGCGAAAGCGUGGGUAGCAAACAGG
rnacentral:rRNA from 1 species